UCUCUACUCCCUCCGUCCGAAAAUACUUGUCAUCAAAAUGGAUAAAAAGAGAUGUAUCUAAAACUAAAAUACGUCUAGAUACAUUUCCUUUUAUCCAUUUUGAUGACAAGUAUUUCCGGAUGGAGGGAGUAUUUG
rnacentral:pre_miRNA from 1 species